AAGAUACUAGUAUUAAUAAGUACACUGCCUUGUCAGAGCAGAAUUGUAGGUUAAAACCCUGCGCAUCUUA
rnacentral:tRNA from 1 species